CUCGUUUUUCACACAGCUGAGGCAAUUCUGCAGCUGCACGUUCUGACUGUCCCAGCCCCCCCAGGCCUGGGCAUUUCCUGAGGCCAUUGAUCCAUUUUUGGGGAAUAUCUUCUGGAAACACCUGGGUUUGCUGGGAUGAGCAGGACAGCAGGGAAUGGGCAGCAGGAGAGUGACCAGCAGGGAAUGGUCAGCAGGGAAUGACCAGCAGGGAAUGACCAGCAGGGAAUGGGCAGCAGGAGAGUGACCAGCAGGGAAUGGUCAGCAGGGAAUGGUCAGCAGGGGAAUGGUCAGCAGGGAAUGGUCAGCAGGGAAUGACCAGCAGGAGAGUGACCAGCAGGGAAUGGUCAGCAGGGAAUGGUCAGCAGGGAAUGGCCAGCAGAGAAUGGGCAGCAGGGAAUGGUCAGCAGGGAAUGGUCAGCAGGGAAUGACCAGCAGGAGAGUGACCAGCAGGGAAUGGUCAGCAGGGAAUGGUCAGCAGGGAAUGGUCAGCAGGGAAUGGUCAGCAGGGAAUGACCAGCAGGAGAGUGACCAGCAGGGAAUGGUCAGCAGGGAAUGGUCAGCAGGGAAUGGUCAGCAGGGAAUGGUCAGCAGGGGAAUGGGCAGCAGGAGAGUGACCAGCAGGAGAGUGACCAGCAGGAGAGUGACCAGCAGAAGAACAGGGAGCAGAGAGCUGCCAUGUGAAGGGUGAUUUCACAGGGUGAUUUCACAGGGUGAUAUUUCACAGGGUGAUUUCACAGGGUGAUUUCACAGGGUGAUAUUUCACAGGUGAUAUUUCACAGGGUGAUAUUUCACAGGUGAUAUUUCACAGGUGAUAUUUCACAGGGUGAUUUCACAGGGUGAUUUCACAGGUGAUAUUUCACAGGGUGAUAUUUCACAGGGUGAUAUUUCACAGGUGAUAUUUCACAGGGUGAUUUCACAGGUGAUAUUUCACAGGUGAUAUUUCACAGGGUGAUUUCACAGGUGAUAUUUCACAAGGUGAUAUUUCACAGGGUGAUAUUUCACAGGUGAUAUUUCACAGGUGAUAUUUCACAGGGUGAUAUUUCACAGGUGAUAUUUCACAGGGUGAUUUCACAGGGUGAUAUUUCACAGGUGAUAUUUCACAGGUGAUAUUUCACAGGGUGAUUUCACAGGUGAUAUUUCACAGGUGAUAUUUCACAGGGUGAUUUCACAGGUGAUAUUUCACAGGGUGAUAUUUCACAGGGUGAUUUCACAGGGUGAUUUCACAGGGUGAUAUUUCACAGGUGAUAUUUCACAGGUGAUAUUUCACAGGGUGAUAUUUCACAGGGUGAUAUUUCACAGGUGAUAUUUCACAGGUGAUAUUUCACAGGGUGAUUUCACAGGGUGAUUUCCCAGGCUGAUAUUUCACAGGGUGAUAUUUCACAGGGUGAUAUUUCACAGGUGAUAUUUCACAGGGUGAUAUUUCACAGGGUGAUAUUUCACAGGUGAUAUUUCACAGGGUGAUAUUUCACAGGUGAUAUUUCACAGGUGAUAUUUCACAGGGUGAUAUUUCACAGGUGAUAUUUCACAGGGUGAUAUUUCACAGGGUGAUUUCACAGGGUGAUAUUUCACAGGGUGAUUUCACAGGUGAUAUUUCACAGGGUGAUAUUUCACAGGGUGAUUUCACAGGGUGAUAUUUCACAGGGUGAUAUUUCACAGGUGAUAUUUCACAGGGUGAUAUUUCACAGGGUGAUUUCACAGGGUGUAUUUCACAGGGUGAUUUCACAGGGUGAUUUCACAGGUGAUAUUUCACAGGUGAUAUUUCACAGGGUGAUAUUUCACAGGGUGAUAUUUCACAGGUGAUAUUUCACAGGGUGAUUUCACAGGUGAUAUUUCACAGGGUGAUAUUUCACAGGGUGCUUCCCACAGUUGGGAAUUGCGGGUGAUGGAAUCCUGGGGCAGCUCAGCCAGAGCAGGAGCCCAGCCAGGAUCCUCCUGUCUCUGGAAACUCCUCCAGGAGGGCUGAAGUGCCCCAGAACCACAA